CGGCGGACGGGUGAGUAAUGUAUGGGGAUCUGCCUGAUGGCGGGGGGUAACUACUGGAAACGGUAGCUAAUACCGCAUAAUGUCUACGGACCAAAGCGGGGGACCUCCGGGCCUCGCGCCAUCAGAUGAACCCAUAUGGGAUUAGCUUGUAGGUAAGGUAACGGCUUACCUAGGCGACGAUCCCUAGCUGGUCUGAGAGGAUGACCAGCCACACUGGAACUGAGACACGGUCCAG
rnacentral:rRNA from 1 species